CUCAUCAAGAGCUGGUGGAGGGAUUGGCCCAAUGAAACCGCAGCAACCAUUGCAUUUUGCAAACGGUGCUAAGUCCUGCGAGAUAAUCGAGAGAUGAG
rnacentral:ncRNA from 1 species